GUGCUCAGCUGUCACUGGAGGUGCCCCCGUUCCUCCCAUUGCAGUACAGCGAAAGCCUCAAUCAAGAGCUGAAGUUAUUUGGUUUAAUUACAUGGCAUUUAAUUAGCGGAGAAAAACCAAUGCUUUUUUGGUGGUUUCUUGUCGUAAGGAGCAGCUAGAUGCUUCCCUAGCGGGGCAGUGCAGCAGUGUGAGUCAGAUGUGUGCAGUGCAGCGCUGGGGCUUCCCAGAGCAGUGGUUUAGGAAGAUCCCUGCUUCAGACAGGGGGCAGCCCUCGUGGCUUUGAUCACUGGUUGGUUCUGGCUUCUGUGCUGCGCUGUACAAGAAGGCAUUCUCUUGUGCUACGGUUCUGGAGCAGCCUCCAGGGAGGAGCAGGCUGCAGCCGGCGUGGCGGUGCGGCACACAGGCGUGCUUCCAGCUCUCAGCACUAAGUCACUGUCUAACAAGCGUGCCUCGCAUCAUGGGACAAAUGCUGUUCCAGAAAUAUCAGAGGUUAAUCCGAUGCACCAUCCCUUACAUAGCAUCGCAGUGUAACGCUUUGCUUGGGGUGGGGGGGGGGUUCUGGCUCUCUCUUUUCCAUGCUUAUUGGAGUAUCGCUGCCACUUUUCCUCCUGGAAGCGGGGAGCGGCGUAAGGAAGGGCUGAGCAGCACCCAUAGUGCUGGGGCCAGCUCUGAACCGAUGGCCACUCGUUUCCAUUAGGGGUGAACUCGGCUUGGGGCUUUAGUAAAUGCUGACCGUGCUAUAGCCAGUAAUUGCAGAUGUAAAAAUAAGUGACCACGUUUUGUUUAUUCGCGUGCAGUCAAUAACCCUGUGAGAAUAGUAAAUAGAGCUCCACCCCAGCGAAGCAGCGUGAAGAGUUCAAACGCUGGAAGAUGACCCUGUAGACACACACAAACGCAGUGCUGUUCCGUAUACAAUAGAACAGAAAGGCCAAAAAUACCCUACCAAACCCAUACGCUGCGCAGCGUAGAGACCCGGCCUUGCAACACACUGAACUCCCAUUGAAGAACUCAAGACAUCAUGCAGGAUCCGUGCCCAGAAAUGUGAGCCCCCAGCAUGGUGCUCUGGAGCUGUGCAGACAUGUUUCGUCUUACGGAGCUGAGUAUCUGCUUUUCAGCAGCUGAGCCCUGGGGACACGGUGCUAGGCAGAGCAGUGAGGAAUGAGGCUUCCUUUCAGAGAGGUUAGCUCAUCUCUUAGCGUCUGUGGAAAAGAGCUUACCUCACAUUCUCACCUGGACUGUUGCCCUUAAUCUAUGGCACUCGCUAAAGAGGAAAAUAGAAUCGAGCAUGUUCAAGCGAAUGUUUUCCAUGUUUUGAUCUUGUUUCUUGAGCUCAGCUCGGAGCAGUGUGGGAAGUGCCUUUUGGGCAGCGUGUGCAAUUACUCCCAGGCCUUCCAGAAAGCAGAGGUUAGCUGUGCAAUGGACUCCGAAUGUGCAGAGAGUCUGCAAUCAGAAGUCAAAAAUAAAAUGACUAUAAUUAGUAAUGACCAAAGCAACUGGAAAUGGUGUCAGUCAGAGCCGAGCCAGCUUUCUUUUUAUCUGUCACCUAAUGAAUGAGGGCUGAGGUUAUCCUCCAAGGAUGAGAGGGCUGAAUUUUUUUCCCAUUCAAAUCUGGUGCUGUGGGACAAAUGCAAACUCAGGGCUCAUUUACUACCUUGUUUUUCAGCUAUGGAACCUGCAGGCAGGU
ensembl:lncRNA